AGAUAGAACCUUCUCUGAUGAUGGCUAAGCAAGAUGCCAAUUGAGUUGUUGGCCACCAUGGAAACUCAAACUACUCAGGCCACUGACAAGACUAUUGGUUGCUCUUUACAAACUGAUGCCUUAUUUUUGACAGCCAGAAUCUGAAAACAACCCCGAUGUCCUAGAUAUCCAAAGAAUGGAUACAGAAAAUGUGGUUUACACAGUGUAAUACUAUUUUGCCAUUAAAAGGAAGACAUCAUGAAUUUUGCAGGCAAAUGGAUGGAAUUAGAAAAAUAUCAUUCUGAGUGAGGUAACUCAGACGCCAAAGGAAAUGCUUUCUAUGUACUCAGUGAUA
rnacentral:lncRNA from 1 species